UGUGGCCAUGUCUGGGCAGAAUCCACCAGUCAUGCAAAGAGGACCAUACACUGUAGCACUCAGCAGAAGAGGAAAGAUGGGAACAGAAAGCAAAUGGAAGAUUUUACACCUCUGCCACUGGAAAUGGUGCUGAUAAAGGAAAUGGAGGUAAGCAGCAAGAAUGAUUUUCUGAACAUUGUCAACAUAAGCUCUGUUCAUGUUCCUCCCUCUGCCUGCCGUUCUCUCUUGUUGAAGCAGCACGCCUUGCUGUGGCUGGUCAAAUGGAACCAAGUCAGGUGUUUCUGCAAGGUUUGGUCCCCUUCAACCAGCUACUGCGUCGUGAAUACAGCCAACAUAGAGCAAAGAUUAUAAGAGAGUCAUUCAGUAAAGUCUGAUAAUUAUCAUUUAAAAUGUACUAAUCCUAAGUUUUUCAUUAUUUAAUUGUCUUUUAUUUCUUCUAAAAUUCAAUAAACUAUUUUCCUUUUCAAUGUUGUGUUCAUUUUCUCCUUCUUAAUUACAAUAGUAAUUAAUUAUUCUUUAUAUAAUAAUCAUUCAGUCCCUGAGCUUGUCAUUCAUUGCCCUUGUGAAAAACAAGGGUGCUUAAUUUGUGCAAUUUCUGAAUUGUUUUGAAUGUGUACUUACAAUAGUCUGUUUAAUUAUAUUUUAUAAAUUAUUCAAUAAUUAAAUAAUUUGCGUUUUAUGUUAGAAAAAUUAAUAGUGAAAG
ensembl:lncRNA